rnacentral:rRNA from 1 species
UACGUAGGGUGCGAGCGUUGUCCGGAAUUAUUGGGCGUAAAGGGCUCGUAGGCGGUUUGUCGCGUCGGGAGUGAAAACCUCGGGCUUAACUCGGGGCUUGCUUUCGAUACGGGCAGACUGGAGGUAUGCAGGGGAGAACGGAAUUCCUGGUGUAGCGGUGGAAAUGCGCAGAUAUCAGGAGGAACACCGGUGGCGAAGGCGGUUCUCUGGGCAUGACCUGACGCUGAGGAGCGAAAGCGUGGGGGAGCAAACAGG